UACGUAGGGUCCGAGCGUUGUCCGGAAUUAUUGGGCGUAAAGGGCUCGUAGGCGGUUCGUCGCGUCGGGAGUGAAAACUCGGAGCUCAACUCCGAGCCUGCUUCCGAUACGGGCAGACUAGAGGUAGGCAGGGGAGAGCGGAACUCCUGGUGUAGCGGUGAAAUGCGCAGAUAUCAGGAAGAACACCCGUGGCGAAGGCGGUUCUCUGGGACGGUACUGACGCUGAGACGCGAAAGCGUGGGGAGCGAACAGG
rnacentral:rRNA from 1 species